GCGGGAGUAGCUCAGUUGGUAGAGCGACAGCCUUCCAAGCUGUAGGCCGCGGGUUCGAAUCUCGUCUCCCGCU
rnacentral:tRNA from 1 species